rnacentral:rRNA from 1 species
GUGUAUUUAUUAGAUAAAAAACCAAUGCCCUUCGGGGCUCCUUGGUGAAUCAUAAUAACUUAACGAAUCGCAUGGCCUUGCGCCGGCGAUGGUUCAUUCAAAUUUCUGCCCUAUCAACUUUCGAUGGUAAGAUAGAGGCUUACCAUGGUCUUAACGGGUAACGGGGAAUUAGGGUUCUAUUCCGGAGAGGGAGCCUGAGAAACGGCUACCACAUCCAAGGAAGGCAGCAGGCGCGCAAAUUACCCAAUCCCGACACGGGGAGGUAGUGACAAUAAAUACUGAUACGGGGCUCUUUUGGGUCUCGUAAUUGGAAUGAGUACAAUCUAAAUCCCUUAACGAGGAACAAUUGGAGGGCAAGUCUGGUGCCAGCAGCCGCGGUAAUUCCAGCUCCAAUAGCGUAUAUUAAAGUUGUUGCCGUUAAAAAGCUCGUAGUUGAACCUUGGGCCUGGCUGACCUGUCCUCCUAAUCGAGCGCACGGGUUCGGUCGGGCCUUUCCUUCUAGGGAACCCCAUGCCCUUCACUGGGUGUGGUGGGGAACUAGGACUUUUACCUUGAAAAAAUUAGAGUGUUCAAAGCAGGCCUUUGCUCGAAUACAUUAGCAUGGAAUAAUAGAAUAGGACAUCGGUUCUAUUUUGUUGGUUUCUAG